rnacentral:misc_RNA from 1 species
AACUUUUGACAACGGAUCUCUUGGUUCUGGCAUCGAUGAAGAACUCAGCGAAAUGCGAUAAGUAAUGUGAAUUGCAGAGUUCAGUGAAUCAUCGAAUCUUUGAACGCACAUUGCGCCCGUUAGUAUUCUGACGGGCAUGCCUGUUCGAGCGUCAUUUCAACCCUCAAGCACCGCUUGGCGUUGGCGGGCUACAGCGCUUUUAGUGCCGUAGCCGCCCAAAUAUAUUGGCGGUCCCGCCGUGGCUCCCCUUGCGUAGUAACUCACCUCGCACCGGGUCCAUGCGGCGGCUUGCCGUAAAACUCUCUUAUUUUAAAAGGUUGACCUCGGAUCAGGUAGGAAUACCCGCUGAACUUAAGCAUAUCAAUAAGCGGAGGCU